ensembl:lincRNA 5930412G12Rik RIKEN cDNA 5930412G12 gene
AAGGAAGAUGGCGAAGACAGUGAGGGAAGAGAGCAGACGUCUGACUCCGGGGUGCUUAUCUGUGUGGAAGAGACCGGUUCUUCCUGACUGGCUUCAUGUCCCUCAAGAUCCCAAAGAAGGCUAUGGCUAUUUCAAAGCCAGAGAAUAGGGGCAGAGACUCAGCAGCCUGCUCCUGGGUGCAAAGAGACAAGGCCAGGUGCAGCCUGUGCUCACAGUCUUGGAAGCUUGGUGGUGGUGGAGGUGUUCUCCUGGCUCUUCAAGUAUUUACCCGUCUGUGUGUGACUCAUAUCCAGGAACCCAGGCAGCUUCCCUCAAUAGAUUGCUGGCUUCAGAAGAUGAGCCUCCCCU